rnacentral:rRNA from 1 species
AGAAUCAACGCUGGCGGCGUGCCUAACACAUGCAAGUCGAACGAGAAAGUGGAGCAAUCCAUGAGUACAGUGGCGACCGGGUGAGUAACACGUGACCAAUCUACCUUCGAGUGGGGAUAACUCCGGGAAACCGGGGCUAAUACCGCAUAACAUCUUUGGAAUGCAAAUUCCGUUGAUCAAAGGGGCAAUUCGCUUGAAGAGGAGGUCGCGGCUGAUUAGCUAGUUGGCGGGGUAAUGGCCCACCAAGGCGAAGAUCGGUAU